GGCCCUACGGGGCGCAGCAGGCGCGAAAACUUUACAAUGCAGGCAACUGCGAUAAGGGAACAUCGAGUGGUAUCCAUAAUGGGUAUCUGUCCCCCUGUCUAAAAAACAGGGGUUAGCAAGGGCCGGGCAAGACCGGUGCCAGCCGCCGCGGUAAUACCGGCGGCUCGAGUGGUGGCCGAUAUUAUUGAGUCUAAAGGGUCCGUAGCCGGCUUUGCAAGUCUUGUGGGAAAUCCAGCGGCUUAACCGUUGGGCGUCCGCGAGAUACUACA
rnacentral:rRNA from 1 species